UACGUAGGGUGCGAGCGUUAAUCGGAAUUACUGGGCGCAAAGCGUGCGCAGGCGGUGAUGUAAGACCGAUGUGAAAUCCCCGGGCUUAACCUGGGAACUGCAUUGGUGACUGCAUCGCUCGAGUAUGGCAGAGGGGGGUAGAAUUCCACGUGUAGCAGUGAAAUGCGUAGAGAUGUGGAGGAAUACCGAUGGCGAAGGCAGCCCCCUGGGUCAAUACUGACGCUCAUGCACGAAAGCGUGGGGAGCAAACAGG
rnacentral:rRNA from 1 species